rnacentral:rRNA from 1 species
UACGGGAGGCAGCGAGUGGGGAAUAUUGCACAAUGGGCGAAAGCCUGAUGCAGCUAUGCCGCGUGUAUGAAGAAGGCCUUAGGGUUGUAAAGUACUUUCAUCGGGGAGGAAAAACAAAACUAAUAAUUUUAUUUCUUGACGUUACCCGAAAAAGAAGCACCGGCUAACUCCGUGCCAGCAGCCGCGGUAAUACGGAGGGUGCUAGCGUUAAUCAGAAUUACUGGGCGUAAAGAGCACGUAGGUGGUUUUUUUAAAGUCAGAUGUGAAAUCCCUGGGCUUAACCUAGGAACUGCAUUUUGAAACUGAAAUACUAGAGUAUCGUAGAGGGAGGUAGAAUUCUAGGUGUAGCGGUGAAAUGCGUAGAUAUCUGGAGGAAUACCUGUGGCGAAAGCGGCCUCCUAAACGAAUACUGACACUGAGGUGCGAAAGCGUGGGGAGCAAACAGGGAUUAGAUACC